CCCGCACAAGCGGUGGAGCAUGUGGUUUAAUUCGACGCAACGCGAAGAACCUUACCAGGGCUUGACAUCCCCUGACCGCGUAUGAAAGUACGUUUCACCCUCGGGUGACAGGGAGACAGGUGGUGCAUGGUUGUCGUCAGCUCGUGUCGUGAGAUGUUGGGUUAAGUCCCGCAACGAGCGCAACCCUCAUCCUUAGUUGCCAUCAUUAAGUUGGGCACCCUAAGGAAACUGCCGCAGUUAAUGCGGAGGAAGGUGGGGAUGACGUCAAGUCCUCAUGGCCCUUAUAUCCAGGGCUACACACGUGCUACAAUGAGCGGCACAAAGGGUCGCGAACCCGCGAGGGGGAGCUAAUCCCACAAAUCCGCUCCUAGUUCGGAUUGGAGUCUGCAACCCGACUCCAUGAAGCUGGAAUCGCUAGUAAUCGCGGAUCAGCAUGCCGCGGUGAAUACGUUCUCGGGCCUU
rnacentral:rRNA from 1 species